AGAGUUUGAUCCUGGCUCAGGAUGAACGCUGGCGGCGUGCCUAAUACAUGCAAGUCGAGCGAACAGAUAAGGAGCUUGCUCCUUUGACGUUAGCGGCGGACGGGUGAGUAACACGUGGGUAACCUACCUAUAAGACUGGGAUAACUUCGGGAAACCGGAGCUAAUACCGGAUAAUAUUUCGAACCGCAUGGUUCGAUAGUGAAAGAUGGUUUUGCUAUCACUUAUAGAUGGACCCGCGCCGUAUUAGCUAGUUGGUAAGAUAACGGCUUACCAAGGCGACGAUACGUAGCCGACCUGAGAGGGUGAUCGGCCACACUGGAACUGAGACACGGUCCAGACUCCUACGGGAGGCAGCAGUAGGGAAUCUUCCGCAAUGGGCGAAAGCCUGACGGAGCAACGCCGCGUGAGUGAUGAAGGUCUUCGGAUCGUAAAACUCUGUUAUUAGGGAAGAACAUACGUGUAAGUAACUGUGCACGUCUUGACGGUACCUAAUCAGAAAGCCACGGCUAACUACGUGCCAGCAGCCGCGGUAAUACGUAGGUGGCAAGCGUUAUCCGGAAUUAUUGGGCGUAAAGCGCGCGUAGGCGGUUUUUUAAGUCUGAUGUGAAAGCCCACGGCUCAACCGUGGAGGGUCAUUGGAAACUGGAAAACUUGAGUGCAGAAGAGGAAAGUGGAAUUCCAUGUGUAGCGGUGAAAUGCGCAGAGAUAUGGAGGAACACCAGUGGCGAAGGCGACUUUCUGGUCUGUAACUGACGCUGAUGUGCGAAAGCGUGGGGAUCAAACAGGAUUAGAUACCCUGGUAGUCCACGCCGUAAACGAUGAGUGCUAAGUGUUAGGGGUUUCCGCCCCUUAGUGCUGCAGCUAACGCAUUAAGCACUCCGCCUGGGG
rnacentral:rRNA from 1 species